GAUGAACGCUAGCGGCAGGCUUAAUACAUGCAAGUUGAGGGGCAGCAUGAUAUACGCGAGUAUAUUGAUGGCGACCGGCGGACGGGUGAGUAAUAGGUAGGAGACCUACCUCAUACAGGGGGAUAGCAUAGAGAAAUCUGUGGUAAUACCCCAUGAGGUUAUAUGAAUAGAGGCAUAUAAUCAAAGCAUAAGCGAUUAUGCGGUAUGAGAGGGGCCUACUGACCAUUAGCUAGUUGGUGAGGUAAGGGCUCACCAAGGCGAAGAUGGUUAGGGGUUUUGAGAGAGAGACCCCCCACAUUGGAACUGAGAGACGGUCCAGACUCCUACGGGAGGCAGCAGUAGGGAAUAUUGGGCAAUGGGCGAAAGCCUGACCCAGCCAUGCCGCGUGAAGGAAGACGGCCUUAUGGGUUGUAAACUUCUUUACUACGCGAAUAGAGGUUAGUACGAGAUACUAAUAGGAAGGUAGUGUAGUAAAAAGCAACCGGCUAAACUCCGUGACCCG
rnacentral:rRNA from 1 species